GACGAACGCUGGCGGCGUGCUUAACACAUGCAAGUCGAGCGGUAAGGCCCUUUCGGGGGUACACGAGCGGCGAACGGGUGAGUAACACGUGGGUGACCUGCCCUCAGCUCUGGGAUAAGCCUGGGAAACUGGGUCUAAUACUGGAUAUGACUCCACGGUGCAUGUCGUGGGGUGGAAAGCCUUGUGCGGCUGAGGAUGGGCCCGCGGCCUAUCAGCUUGUUGGUGGGGUGANGGCCUACCAAGGCGACGACGGGUAGCCGGCCUGAGAGGCGACCGGCCACACUGGGACUGAGACACGGCCCAGACUCCUACGGGAGGCAGCAGU
rnacentral:rRNA from 1 species